rnacentral:rRNA from 1 species
AGAGUUUGAUCAUGGCUCAGGACGAACGCUGGCGGCGUGCUUAACACAUGCAAGUCAAGGGGAAAGACCGAUUUCGAUUGGUUGAGUAAACUGGCGGACGGGUGAGUAACGCGUAGGCAACCUGGCUUUUUGUCUGGGAUAACCUUGCGAAAGCGGGGCUAAUACCGGAUGUGGUUCAGAUGUCGCCUGACAUUUGAAUUAAAGCUGCUUUUGGGUAGUGCGAAGAGAUGGGCCUGCGUUCCAUUAGUUAGUUGGUGAGGUAACGGCUCACCAAGGCGACGAUGGAUAGCUGGUCUGAGAGGACGAUCAGCCACACUGGGACUGAGAUACGGCCCAGACUCCUACGGGAGGCAGCAGUGGGGAAUAUUGCGCAAUGCCCGCAAGGGUGACGCAGCGACGCCGCGUGGGUGAUGAAGCUCUACGGAGUGUAAAGCCCUGUCAGAAGGGAAGAACGGUCUGGAUUCGUUAAGGGUUCAGGUGUGACGGUACCUUCAGAGGAAGCUCCGGCUAACUCCGUGCCAGCAGCCGCGGUAAUACGGGGGGAGCAAGCGUUGUCCGGAAUCACUGGGCGUAAAGGGGCGUGUAGGCGGGUAAUCAAGUCAGGUGUAAAAGUCCAUGGCUCAACCAUGGUAAGCCAUCUGAAACUGGUUAUCUUGAGUUCGAGAGAGGGUAGUGGAAUUCCAGGUGUAGCGGGUGAAAUGCGUAGAUAUCUGGAAGAACACCGGGAUGCGAAGGCGGGCUACCUGGGCUCGCAACUGACGCUGAGGCGCGAAA